UGCCAAUAGCAUCCCAUUCAUUUCAAAUCGCGGGUUUUUCUCUUUUCAUGUAGAAAUAGAUGAAGGAAAUCCAUAAUUUCCUGCAGCAACUCUGCAUCCCGUUUAUGCCAAAGAUCAAUGGGCAGAUGACCUAGAUUUUAAUUUCCUUCCGACAAGCUUCAGUUUUUGACUUGAAAUCCAUGGAAUUGGGGAGAUUCUUCAAAGAUGUUGAUUGAACCACAAUGGAAGCAGCUCAAGUCAAUCCUUCGCAGACUCAUUCAAAACGCUCUGAAAAAUGGAUACCAGUUCAUGCCUGGUUAGAAUCAUUGGACAAGAAGGGGGUUGUUAGAUCCAGAGAAAUUUCUAAUUGGCUGUCUCAGAAUCCUUUGGUAAAAGAACAGCUGUAUUCAAGGUAUUCUCACUAUCACUUGAUGCACUACGUCCAGAAAUGUCAUUCAAGAAUCUUAAAGCGGCGAGACAAGGGAAAGGGCAACAUCAAAGAACUACAGCCAAGAGAGUAUUUUGGAGAGAAAGAGGAGAGAAGGGUAAUGAACAGAAAUUCUGUUACUGAACAGCAGUAAUGUACUGCCCAAGGGAGAAUAGGGAGAGGAGAGGGAAAGAAGAAAGAAGAAGGAAGAGAGGAGGAAGAAGGAGAUACAGUUCAAUGCAAGUGUUCCUGUAAUGGUUAAAGACAAUGGGGUGAAGAUGGUUCGAGUUCUGCUUUCAGCCUUAAUUUGGUUUCCUUCACAUUACGCACUAGUGACAUAACAUCUCACGGAUGCUGAUAUGAGUCACUGUUCAGUUUGGCUACGCGACAUUUGGUACGCACAAUCUCUGAUACUGAAAUGCUAACUAUGGUCCUGAUGGUACUUUCUAGCACAAAUUAGUGUUUAAAUAGCCAUAGAAAGCAAAACUCUUUUCUGAGCCUUUAAGUUGAUUUGUGAAGGCAUUGUAUUGUGCAACUCUUUACUCAAGCUCAGUUGUAUCUGAUAAUUGAUUAUGAUCUUCUCUAAUUUCCAAUGUGGGCAGUAGAUUAAAUUACUGUAACUUCUGUGAUACCCGUUGUUGCAAAUUCAGUGAAGAGGCUGCCCUCUUUGGUUUUUGCAUGCGUACAGACUACGGCUUGCUUCAAGACCUAAAAAUAGAAGAAAAGAUGUUAUUGCCUUCAACAUUCACUAGCACGUGACCGUGAUGUAUAUUGAUGUUCACUCUGGUUCAACUGUUUUGCUCUAUUGGACCCAAGUUUGAAGAUCUGUCUCUAUUUCAGGAAAUUCUUCAAGCAAAGUUUUGAAGGAAAAUGGCUUGUCCAAACAGAAUGAAGCUCGUGACAAAUAUGCACUUUUAAUGGAGCUGGAGGACCGCCUGUCCAUUGUCCUCUCAAAAUCUAAGCAUGUUAAAGAUCGAAAAGAAUUUGUUUUGCCAGCCUUAUCAAAGGAUGAAGAUGCAAAUGCUGAAUAUAAUUCUUUAGCCAGAGAUGAGGGAGUAAGAACCAAGUUUAUCUCUAGUGGUGCGUCAUGUGAUGAAGGUGCUCUUGCUGUUAGGGGCAGAGAAUUGGACAAUAUUUACAUUGAUGAAGUGCAAGUGGAAAGAGGAGAUGAUUGAAUAGGAUAACCCCAGCGCCAUAUGACCACUACAUGGUCCUCUUCUCCAUCAUCAUAUGGUAGGCAGCCUUCCCUGCCUGGCAGAAUUUGUCACCUCCUUGCCUGGGCACAUCUGUUGCUUUCCUAGUUGACAGAGGACCAUGUUAUAUUUGGAGCAUUUUCAUAUUGACAACUGUCUUGGCUUUAGAGCAUCUUUGCUUCUUUUUAUUUUAUUUUCCCUAUUUGACCUGAACCAUGCCUUGGACAUAAAUUUGUUUCUUUCCUUCUUCCUAAUUUUGUUCCUACAGAAACAAAGAGCCUUAGUUUUGUUUAGAAUUGCAUAAUUGGGCUAUGUUUGGAUCAGGGAUUUUGUGAGGAAAGGGAAGGAAUGUAAAAUAAAAUGGAAAUCCAUUUUCCAUUUUAUUUUCUUUACUAUAUCAAAUAUUAUUAAAAAUGAAAAUUUGUUCCAAUAUGAUUGAAAUGUAAGAAAAACCAAAUGUUAAUGAUGUUUAAAAUCAAAAUGUUGUUCCUUGAUACUCGAACAUGAAAAGUGAAUUCUUUCAUACUUUCCCUAAUACUUUCCAGGUGCCAAACAAGUGCAUUAGGCUUUCCAUUUGGAAAAGGAUUACAUGGUUUGCAUUAUUUAGAAUUUUUUUUUAAUUGCUGUUUGUUUUCCCUCACUGGAUGAGUCUGACGCUCUUAUAUUCUCUUGGAAUUCAUACAUAACUGUGUUGAAAAUAAUUGAAGCUGAUACAUUAGAUUGAAAUAGCAAAGUUCACUUUUUGGAUAUAUUUGUUAUUUCUCUUCCUGUUGAUUUGAUGAAUAGAACAGCAUGCCUAAACAAUCAAAUAACAGAACUUUAUUCAACUACUAUGAGGUUGAAUAUUUCAUGAGCUUGCUGUGUUUUUAAGGGGCCGGUGGGAAGCAUUAGACAGUUCCUGACUUGCUCUUCAAGACCUGAUGGGAGUAUGAGGUCAGGCUAGAUCAUGGUUGUUAAAGCUGAGCCUCUGAAGGUUUGAAACUGAUGUUUUUAAAACAGCUUAGAAAGGUAAUUCGCACAAAGCUGAGAAAGUAUGAGGCAUGGAGAGUUUGCAGGCGAUAAUGUUAUCUGGAUUUAUUUAAUAUCUCAGUAAAAACUGAUCUUAUUGGAUGGUACCUGGAUAAAAAAUUAAUUCCUUUUCAUAGAGAAAUAUUAAUUCCUCUCUUGACUAGUACCUUAGAUUUGUCUAACCCUCUAGGCUUGGAUACAUUCAUUAUGGCAUUUUCCUAUUCACCUUUAUAGCUGUGUGUUACAUGCUGCACAUAUUUUUUUAACUGCCCAAAAAAGUGGAGUAAUUACCGUAACAAUUGGGUCUGUAUAUUAAGUAAGUUGCCAAAAUAUUAACUUGCAGGAAUGUGAUUUAUUUCUUGCCAUAUAUUAUGUAAGCUAGCUUCUAUAUUUUAUCAAUAUUAGAACAUAAUUUUAAUUAAUUGACAGUAUUGCACUCUAAAUGUUACUUGCAUGGCACUUUGCAUUCUGCUAGUUCUAUGGUUCACUUUUCAAAAUUGCAUCUACUGCUCGCAGUAAAGUCGCUGCCAUUACAGGUAACUGGUUAACUGCAAAAGUGGACAUUUUCAGCAGUAAGAAAUUGUGAACCCUAGAAAUAUGUUUUGCUGGCAACCCUAUAUAUAGUUUUGAUCUGCACUGAAAAAUAAUUCAAUAUAUUUUUAAGAAGAAUCAAGCUCUUUGAUUGGAAACAUGUAUUAUUAUACAUUUUUUACAUUGAUAGAAUGCUUCACAGAAUGCAUCUGUAUUAAUUAGUAAGAAAAUAAAAAAUCUUUGAAAUAUAUAUUUAUUUUGCACUAGCAAAUCAAAACCCUCUUAGAAGAUGGAGCCAUUGGAAAAACGACAAGACAUAAUUACACAAGUAUUUUCAUCAAGUUACAUAACAAGCUGAAUUUAUUUUUUCUCGACAAUCUAUUAUAUUAACAUAGAUGGGAAGCUUUCUCUAAUAUCAUCUAUUGAUGAUGUUGCAUCACGGUUGAAAAUUGAUGUCUGACUUAAAAUUCAUGGAGAUAAAGGACCUGAAAAUGUUGAGACCACUGAAGCUGUUUCAUCCCUAAGAUGAGAAGCAAGGCCAGGCCGAGCAAGCAAUUUUUGUCCACGUGUCUUCUUUCCUUCCUUCAUGAAAGACAUGCCUAGAGUUGCUGAGUUGAUGCUGUUUGACCCUAGCUGCUGGAUGCUCAGAGAAAGCCUUCUAUUUAAGGGGCUUGCAGUGCUAAUGCCUCCAUUUAUGCUCUGGUUUGAAAGUCGCCGAGUGCUGGUGCUUGGCCUGGACCCGAACAAAUUUUCUUGCUCAGCUACUUGACCUUGCACCUUCUUCUUUUCCUGGGGGAAUGGCUACUUCAUCAUAAAUAGACAUAUUAGCAGGUCUACUGUUCUGGAUCGUCUCAAACCUAAAUGCUAGCCUGGUAGAUUGAUUGAGAGCAAAAAAUUGUAAUUACCCGUCCAGGGAGGGAUCGUUCACCGAGGGACAACAGAAGAUGGGUGAAUUCAGCUUCAGAAUCAGCCAACUCUUGAUGGAGGCGAGCUCUUGAAGUAUUUGCAGUGUCAACUUUUCUUCUAUAAACUUCGAGGCACUCUUGUUCAAGAUCUAGUAGGACCUUUUCCCUUUCAAAUUGAUCUUCUCCAACUUCAUCCCAGAUCAUCUGUUUCAGGAAACAAAGUUUGCAGAAGAAAAGCAUAAUAAGAAUCCUGGAGGACUUGUUAUCAACUUAAACAUUCAAAUUCGAUAUCCGAGCAUAUCAUGUAGAGAACAAAACUCGCCUGCAGUUCUUGAAGCAAAUAUCCACACGAAGUUUCCAGCAAUGCUGAGCUUCUCAUUGCCAUGGGUUUCUGGAAUGAGCCCAUUUGAUAGUUCCUUCAAAAUUGAAGGAGCUUAGAGAAGAACCGAAACUCCCGAGAUAGAAGUUCCUGGUAAGCAACUGAAGAUGGAGGGAAAAUGGAAAGAGAUUAAGCAGAAACAGGGAGGGAGAGAGAGAGAAUGAUGGGGUGGGAGCUGUGGAUGAGGUUUUGCUUAAAAGACAAGGCUACAGAGGUGGUUGAUGUUGAAGCUUUGUGUACAAGGAUUGGCUGUUCCUUUUGAUCCUCCUGGUUCUCUUUCCCUCUCAUUGUUUGAAUUCAAUAAAAAAAAAAGUAAUGAAUUUCCAUUUCUAUCCACUGAUCCAAUUCAUAAAUACUCUCAUCUCCUAUUCAGAAAUAAUAUUUGUUCAAUUCCCAUCAUUGUAAAGUCACAAAUAAGCCUUGCAAUAGUACUGCCUUGCUUUCUAAGCAAUGUAUGCCUAAAGGGAAAUUGUGGGUUCAGUUGUAGUGUUAGAAUCUGUAAAAGCAAUGGCUGUCAUGUUGAUCUUUCGAUAGUGUGACAGCCUUCAGGGUGGGAGCAGGCUGUGGUUCAAGUUCAACCUUUAUAAUUUUUCUGCCUUCAUCAUCGACUCAUUUAUCCUUCUGCUCUAAAAUUACAGUCCCCAUCUGCCCACGCUCACUGACCUGGAAGACUGAAAAAGGAAUUUCUUGGUAAAAUUUUUUAUCAUAUUAUUUGUAUUUUCCUGUGGAUGAUCAUAUGUUUGGUUUGUAAUGGAUGGUUAUAGGUUUUUUUUUAAUUCAAUCUUUGUAAAGAUAGCUUUGAGGUUGGAUUUCAGUAGACAUCAUGAUCACAUGAUUUUGAAAGUAGCAUUGUAUCAUCUUCAACUGAACUUGCCACCUUAGUUCACCUUUAUAAUAUGUACAAUUUUAUUACAAUUGAGAAGUCUCUUUCCUGUGAUUAGUCACUUGAAAUUUAAUAAAGGCUCCAGUUU